GUUAUAGUAGGUUAUGAGGUCCUUCUAACAUUUAAUGAGGAAGAAGUCCGUGAGUAAGGGCCUGGCCCUCUAGCCUGGCUUGUUGUGAGUUACCGAAAACAAACAAACUGCCAGCCUUAUUCCAAUCCUUAACCGCUACUGUGAAAGCCGAGGUUGCAGAAGUGAUGGAAUGGCCACUUUCACUGAUGUACAUUCUUUCUUUCAUAUAUUUCUUUUUGAACUGAUCAUUCUGGAUAAGAUCCAUAGGAAGGAGUGAGCACAGCAACAUAGACGGAUGAAGCCGAUUUUACAACAUGGAGUUUCAAACUUCAAGCAUCACUUCUUUUUCUUUAUUAACGCAGCGGGUGUUGAGUUGAGCUAUCUUUUCUUUAGAAGCGGCAGGAAGAAUCUUUGGAAGAAGCCUGUUUGGCCUUCGAAACCGAGCCAAUUGAAACUAUAACAGCACAGAUGGCUUUUAGUUUGCCAACAAUAAGUUUGAGAUUGCACUUAUUCGUUCAUUUCAAGGCGUAAACAUUGAAGAUUGACUUCUCUGCGUUGCUAUAUCGAGCGGAUUUGCUUACUGUGAUGCCAACCGAAUGCGGGACAGAAUAGAGGAAUUGAUUCCGCCUUCGCUCAUUUUUGCAUAAUAACGUGAGAAUCUCCACUACUUCCUUUUUGCGACUACAACUCCCGACCUUUCCUUUCUUAUCCUUU
rnacentral:lncRNA from 1 species